rnacentral:rRNA from 1 species
CCUACGGGAGGCAGCAGUGAGGAAUAUUGGUCAAUGGCCGUAAGGCUGAACCAGCCAAGUCGCGUGAAGGAAGAAGGAUCUAUGGUUUGUAAACUUCUUUUAUAGGGGAAUAAAGGUAUCCACGUGUGGAUAUUUGCAUGUACCCUAUGAAUAAGCAUCGGCUAACUCCGUGCCAGCAGCCGCGGUAAUACGGAGGAUGCGAGCGUUAUCCGGAUUUAUUGGGUUUAAAGGGUGCGUAGGUUGUUUUUUAAGUCAGCGGUGAAAGGUUGUGGCUCAACCAAAAAAAUGCCGUUGAAACUGGGAGAACUGGGGGGUGUUGGGGGAAGGCGAAAUGCGGGGUGUAGCGGUGAAUGCAUAGAUAUCACGCAGAACUCCGAGUGCGAAGGCAGCUUACUAAGCCAUAACUGACACUGAAGCACGAAAGCGUGGGGAUCAAACAGGAUUAGAUACCCCAGUAGUC